rnacentral:misc_RNA from 1 species
CAGGAAGAUACUCAACCUCCAUGUAAUUGUGAAAUUGCAAAAACAUCCUAAUCAUGAGCAUUGGCAAAGAAACAAGCCCCCAUGAUUGGUCAAAGUGUACAUGAGGAUAACGGACAACAACAGGUUGGAUUGAAUAACCAGGAAGAAACGCACCAAGUUGAAAAGAAAUAAGAGCCCUUCCAUUCGUAGUGGUUCCCUCCGGAAAUAACAAAACUCUUGGAAAUCUAUUACAAGAAGCCUUUCUCUGUUUUCACAUCCUUUAUUUCACUAAUGGCAUGCUUCUUUGAUGUAGGUGAAAAUCUAUCUACAUAUAUCACCUGCAUGGCUCUGAUAAUGGUCCCAACAAAGGGUAUGGAAUCAUGGGACUCGGCUGCGACCAUAGUUGGAAAUAACUCGUAAAAAUAAAAGAUAGGUUCUAUGUAAGAUACAUGAUUCGAUACAAUAAUUGGUGCAAUUUCCCUUGGAGCAGGCUUCCCUUUUCUUGUUAUCCAAUGAUAUCCAAAAGAAAAGAGAAUACACCGUCCGCAAAGCCUCGUAACCCCCAUGAGCCUCCACCUCCACUUAGGCAUCGGAUUCUCCUUGUCCUUCCACCCAUAAAGCGCCGUCUUGGUGGCUAUAUAUCCAACCAAAAGACAUAGCCCAAAGAGCACAAGACGAGCAAGCGCAAUAGGUAUGCAAACCACAAUCUUAACCCACUCAUAAACUCCAUAGAUACUGGGCGUGUUGUUCCGAAAUGGAUCCACCGUGGUUGUAUCGGGAACGGAAAAUCCAUUGGAGCCAAUAAACCCGUAAGGAUUGGUAAAGCACAAUCGAGGAUCGUGAUGAUUACCGUUCUGAUUGUUGAUCUGCUCCGGUGAAGCGCCGUCGUCGUCUUCGAUUCUGAGGAUUACGUCGACGCGGUCUGAGGGUUCGGCGGGGAGCAGCGGCGAGGUGAGAUCGUG